rnacentral:lncRNA from 1 species
GCGGCGGCGCGGCGAAGGCGGCGGCUUGUGGACCAGCCUGUCGCCAGCCCUUCUCCAGGGCCUUUUCGCAGCUGCACAAUUGACAACUUUUGCUCCGACCUGGCGCGUGGGGCAGCGAGCAGCGGCUACAAAGUAAUGGAAGUCUCCAAAGUAUACGGGGCAGCUGCUUCUCAGGGUUCCCACCGGAGAAAGCUUUGAAGUUCCGGGAGUGGCUAAUGGUCCCUUUGAUCCUCGUAGACUUCUUGCACUUCAAGGAGCUUUGGAGGAGAGCGGUUUUGCUUAUCACUGGGACCUAUUGUUAAGCAAAAGAAAAGCAACUUCCUAGAUUUGUCGAGACCAUGUUGAACCAGCUUCUUCUCUUGAGGUAAAUCCAGUGGAAAUGAGUGACUGCCUGUCACAGAAAGGAUUCUGAAGACAAACCUGGGCCACAGUAUUACCAUGGCUAUACUUAGACUACAAG